GGGCCGUUAACUCAGCGGAAGAGUGCUUCCCUGACGCGGAAGAAGUCAUAAGUUCGAAUCUUAUACGGCCCACCA
rnacentral:tRNA from 1 species